AUUGAACGCUGGCGGCAGGCCUAACACAUGCAAGUCGAAUGGUAACAGGAAGCAGCUUGCUGUUUCGCUGACGAGUGGCGGACGGGUGAGUAAUGUCUGGGAAACUGCCUGAUGGAGGGGGAUAACUACUGGAAACGGUAGCUAAUACCGCAUAACGUCGCAAGACCAAAGAGGGGGACCUUCGGGCCUCUUGCCAUCAGAUGGGCCCAGAUGGGAUUAGCUAGUAGGUGGGGUAACGGCUCACCUAGGCGACGAUCCCUAGCUGGUCUGAGAGGAUGACCAGCCACACUGGAACUGAGACACGGUCCAGACUCCUACGGGAGGCAGCAGUGGGGAAUAUUGCACAAUGGGCGCAAGCCUGAUGCAGCCAUGCCGCGUGUAUGAAGAAGGCCUUCGUGUUGUAAAGUACUUUCAGCGGGGAGGAAGGGAGUAACGUUAAUACCUUUGCUCAUUAACGUUACCCGCAGAAGAAGCACCGGCUAACUCCGUG
rnacentral:rRNA from 1 species